UCUGAGUUGUCAGCACAGGGCUCGAACUCAUGACCCGUGAGAUCACGACCAGAGCCAAAGUCGGUCACUUGACCCACUGAACCACCCAGGCGGCCCCCCAGACCUGCCUUUUCUAAGCCGCUCUUCACCUGGCGGCCAGAAUGACGGUAAAUACGCUUAAUUCCCAUCAAGUCAGGCUCCUGCUUAACCCUCAGAGCCCUCGCGCCACUGGCCCCAUGUCCACAGAAGGCCCCGAAUCCCUUCCGCGGCCUGGAGGCGUGGCCUGAGCCAGCCCUGCCCCAUCUCAUGUGGCUCUGCCCCCACCUGCUCUUGCCACCUCUGGCUCGUCAACGCCCGGUUUGGGCCCCUCCCCGCCCCUCCCCGUCCCUCCCCUUGUGGGGAUGCUUUUUCCCGCUCAUUGGCUACCUCACCCCGGCGAUGGUGCCUCGUCCGGGAGGCCUCCUUGCCCCCCAGAUAAGGCCGGCCCCCCCACCCCGACAUCUGCGCCCACGUGUCCCUGCCUCUCCUUCUCCACACUCGUCCCAGCGGUGAUUGCAGGUGCAGCUCUGGGUGCGCUUGCCGGAGGCCAGGGGCCCGCUGUGCCUGCGUGAAGCCUUCAAACGCUGCGGGCACGGGAGAGUGGCCUUUGGGAAAACGUGAGGACACUGGUUUCUGCCGGUGCCUCUAGCCCGAGCGGACCUUGCCGCGCGUCUCGGGUGGCUAGGAACCGGCCAGGGCGGCUUCCUGAGGCCCCCGGGGUGAGCCGGCUGCAGGUGCAUCUAGCGGUGGCCGGAGACGUUCUGGGAGUUCAGGAAUCUUGAGCCCUGGUGCCUGAUGAUCUUGGGCAUGUCAAGCAACCUCUGCAAACCUCAUCUUCCUCCUGUGAAAAAAACGGGGACGGACUGGCUUCCUUAAGGAAUCGCUGUGUGUUCAGUACGUCAUAUCAGAUAUCUAAACAAGCUGACACGUGAGCAAACACCAUCUUGCGGCGAGAUCUUGGGCGGGUCCCCUUCCUGCUGUGGGCUGUCACCUCCUCUGAGCGACGAGGACCGGGCAGGCGCCCAGGGGACCCGGCUGCAUCUCGAGACUGCAAGGCCCUGGGCUCAUCGGCCUCCCAGACAAGUGACAAACUGGCUGACCCGGCAAAGCGCUGCCGUGUGCUGCUCAGCCCUGCGACCAGCGGCCACCAGGGAAGGGGCCGCCGAUGUGUACCUCGGGUGCGCAUUCCGGUAAUCAUAGCAACAAACAUACAGGGAGCACGUACCAUGGGGCGGUUUGCCAUUUUCUAGGGUGAAGUUAUCUAUGGAAAGUCGCACAACUACAGCUUGUGGCCAAUCUAGAGAAAGCCGAGAACAUUCCACUCACGUAGGACCAUCAGAGCCAGAGAGGCUUGGAAUCUGGUCCUGUGCCAGCACAGAGCAGGCCCACGGAGGCCGCCUGCGGCCGAGCGAGGCCUGCCUCCAGCCCUGCCUCAGCCCCAGCUCCCAGGAACUCACAGGGGCAUCUUUUUCCUGAAAUAGCUCCAGACACCCGCCAACCCCGUGGCCUGGUGCUCAGGUGGGGAAGCGUGAGGCGCCGGGUGCAGGAAGGGAAAGGGCCGGGCUGGGCGUGCUCGGAGGCAGCCGUCGCUCCCGGGCUGGCGGGGGCACCCCGGGGCAGUGGGAGGGACGAGGGCUCUUGUGACUCUGGCCAUCGGCGCCGUUGCGGCCGCUGACCCUGGCGGGAUGAGAUCCACCGUGUGGGUUUACCGACCUCCUCCUCGAGGACUGGGCCGCAGCGAUCCCUUUGAGUGUCCCUGGGCCUGGCACGGAUUUGUCGCUCAUGGGUGCUUGGUGACGGAUGGUGUGGAGCUCGGGUCCCGCUGCCCUGCCUCUGGCUCUGUGGACGAGUAUUCUAGGGCUCACAAGCCUCGCCUGGGGCUGGAGCCCCCCACGACCGGGGGAGCAGGGGACGACAGUCCGUGGGGUCUGUCACGGCUGGGACAAGGACAGCCUCAGAUGGAAGCUUCCGGAGCGGUCUGGUCGAGCCCCCGGCACACCGGUGGAAGCCCAGUAACUGUGGGAUGAAGGAAAGUGCUCGGCUGUCAGCCGCGUUUCCGUGUCAGGCGUCCAUCCGCCCCUCAGCGGGCACAUAAGGUCACGGCGGCCGGAAGAACACAGCACACGCUCUCGCUGUUGUCUCCGUGCGGCCAGAGGGAGGCACAGUGCCGGACACGGAGGGCGUCUCUGUAAACCCUGUCUGAACGCGGAGACAAAGGGGAUUUUAUAAACCACUUGCUUUUGCCAAACCAGCACAGCUGCCCAAUCCUGGAGUGUGCAUGUGUGUAUACGUGAGGGGUGUGUGUGCAUGUGUGGGACACGUGCGAGUGUGCACCUGUGUCUAUGUGCACACAUACAUGGGGGCGGAGGGGGAAGGGGACAGAGAUCAGCCCUGUGGGCUCCAGGGAUGGAGGCUAAGGAGGGUCCAGAGGGCCUGGCUGAGUCAGAAGCCAGUGGUCAGAGUAGAUGGAAAGGCGUGGAGAGCACAGGACUGCUUCCGAAGAGGGGGCAGGCGAGUGACAGCUGCAGAGGGCAGGGGUGCGGGGAGGGGGACCGGCCAGUGGGGCCGUGCCGUCGCCCCCGAACAGCGUUUCCCAGACCUCCCCGUGGGCCGGCCACGCUGCUGAGCUCGUACAGACACUGGCCCAUUGGGCCCUUGCCCCAGCCGCAAGGGGCAGGACUCUGACUCCCCUGGUCAGCAGAGGGCGUGACCCAAGACACAGGAAGUGACUCGUCCAAGGUCCCCAGCUGGCGAAAGGCAGAGCUGACGGCAGCCCCUGGGCUCGAGCCGCUGUGCUGUCUGAGGCUCCAAGGAGCGGCAUGGUGUGUGGACGUCCUGACUUCUGUUGAUGGUUAAUUUACAUCUCAGCCUGGCUGGGCUACGAUGUCCAGCCACGCGGUCAAACGUUAUUCUGGGUGUUUCUGUGACCACCGUCUUUGGCAUGAGAUGAACAUUUACAUCGGUAGACUUUGAGUAAGGCAAAUUACCCUCCAUUAAGUGGAUGGGCCUCUUCCAAGCAGUAGACGGCCUGGAGAGAACAGAAGACUGACCUCCCCUGAGCGAGAGGAAAUUCCACCAGCCGAUGGACUUGAACGGAAACAUCGCCUCCUCCCUGGUCUCCGGCCUGCCAGCCCGCUCGCCCUACAGAGCCUGGACUUGCCUGUCUCCAUAUCCGCGUGAGCCCAUCCUUUCUAACGAAUCUCUUUAUUGUUCUGUUUCAACGGACAACCUUGGCCAAAUACGCUUCCUCAGGAGCAGACAUCAGUAGAACUGGGCAAUCGGAAAUUAACUCCCAUGGAAACUUCCGGGCACCCGGCGUGGCCCAGGCAGGGGUUCAAGCCGGCGAGCUGUGAGGGGUGAGGUGGGUUCUAGAGCAGGAAGGAGCGGAGUAGGGCAACAGGGGUGGCAGAUAGGGGCCAGGUCGCCCGAUACAGUCCACCUCUGCGCGUUCUCGCUGCGUGGCCGUGGGCAAGCCAUGUCAGACCGAAGCUCCCGCCACCAGCCCACCAGCUCUGCCCGGGGAGCAGAGCACCUCGUUUCCCGCCGCCGGGUUCUCUCCCUGCUCCCCAGGCUCCCACGACAUCAUGUGUCAUCCCCUUGGCGGUGGCCUCGGCGUAAUCAAACACCCCUGAGUCAGAUGUUGCAGAAUUAACAAUCCCCCACGUGGUAUAAACAGAGUUUAAAUCAAAUGCAGUGAAAGGAUAUUGCCUUUUAAAUCGACCCUGACAGCUGUGGAAAAUAUUAUGCCCAAAUAGAAUCCUUACAUACGACAGACAUUAAUUCUUCGAGAACCCCUAAACGGGUCCUCUGGAUCGUUUGUAAGAUUUUAUUUUAUUAUGGAUUGGAUAUAUUGAAGUAAGACUAUAAUCUUAUUGUGUUCUGACCUCUGUUUUUAUAGCUCUGUAUAAACAGCAGUUACCGUGUUAGAGGGAGAGAUGUUUACAGAUGGAGAAAUAAAAACACGCCGCUUUA